rnacentral:tRNA from 1 species
CGGGGCGUGGCGCAGCCUGGCUAGCGCGCCUGCUUUGGGAGNNGGAGGUUCGAAUCCUCUCGCCCCGA